UCGUAAAGGUGCAUGAGUGGUGUUUGGUUUGUUACGUGUGGUUGGCUGCGGCGUUUGCAACAACUUCCAUGCUUUCAGACCUCUUCAGUUGUGCGGCAAGGCUUGUAUCGCCUUGAGCGUGCUGUGGGUUUUCUGUGUUGGCUACCUAAUCAAUGGUAUCGGUUGGAUUGAUCAAAGUUUGAUUUCGUCUUCCGUCGCAUUCGCGGCGUGGGGUGAACCUCGAUGCGGUCUCUUUGAUCCACCUCGUUGAAGCACAUGCCUCGACGUUGUGGCACAUUGAGCAUUGCUUGGUCUCUUGUAUACGGAACAUAUAGUGGGCAUGGAUCUAACGAUUCUCGUUUGCCCUCAUAUUAGCGUAACGCUUCUCUAACAYGACUUGCGCCACGUUUUAGCUCGUACGGACGUGGU
rnacentral:misc_RNA from 1 species